CCCCUUCCUUCAUAACUGAGUGUCGCAACAGUAAAAUUUGAGCUUUGAUCAGAAUAACCAUCUUGGCUACAUUUCUUUCUCUCGCCACCUAGCCCCUCUUCUCUUCCAGGUUUCCAAAAUGCCUUUCCAGGCUAGAACCCAGGUUGUGGUCUGCUGGCCGGAUACAACAAUUGGCGAACCAACGCGGGACUGAGAAACGGCAAAGGAUUUUUGGAAGAGACGCUGCUGGUUUGGAGCUCCAUAAAAUAAAGGAUAAAGGAAAUUCAUACCGAAGAAGGGAGGAAAUGUAGUCUCCCCUCCCCCAGCCUGAAACCUGCUUGCUCAGGGGUGGAGAUUCCUGCUCAUUUGUUCUGCCACGCCCACUGCUGGAACCUGUGGAGCCACACACGGGCACCUUUCUACUGGACCAGAGAUUAUUCGGCGGGAAUCGGGUCCCCUCCCACUUCCUUCAUAACUGAGUGUCGAAACAGUAAAAUUUGAGCUUUGAUCAGAAUAA
rnacentral:lncRNA from 1 species